CCAGUGAACAUCUUCCAUUGAAGCUUCUAUGAUUAUUUCACAAUAUUCAGCAAUCCACCCAAUGCUAACUGGGGAUGUUUGAUUUUGCAGCCUCUUUCAGAGCAGUUGCUAAAAGUCGCUCCACAUCAUCAGAGGGCUUCCCUCCCUCAGUCCAUGAGAGCAACUAAGUUUUGCAUCAGUGAAAGGAAGAAAAAGCAGGAGUCUGGGAGAUAGGCUUCCUGAGGGAAAGGACCACGUUUCUCCUAUUUACCAUGCUGUCUCCCGCUCCAGCACAUCUUUCAGCGAUGCUGACCUGCGGAAACCAGAGCAGUACAUGGUGUGUACUACGCUAUCCUAAGCUAUUAUAAGCAUUGCUUCUUUUUCUUCUCCCACCCAGAAACUUGAAAGUUUUCUUUUCCUUACUCUGUUCCUCUGUGAGUU
rnacentral:lncRNA from 1 species